rnacentral:sRNA from 1 species
GCUGAGCGUGAUGGCUCAUGCGUGUAAUCCCAGCACUUUGGAGGCUGAGGCAUGAGGAUUGCUUGAGCCCAGGUGUUUGAGACAAGCCUAGGAAGCACAGUGAGACCCCAUCUCUACAAAAAAUUAAAUUAGCUGGGCAUGGUGGCACAUGCCUGUAGUCCCAGCUACUCAAGAGGCUGAGGCAGAAGGAUCACUUGAGCCUCAGGAGUUUGAGGCUACGGUGAGCCAUGAUCACACCACUGCCCUCCAGCCUGGGCAACAGAGCAAGACCCUGUCUCU